AGGGUGACGGAUAGCUCUUCCAUGGUUCCUCUCAGGGAUUGAAGUUCGUCGGGGUCCUGAACAGGGACGAACUGGGCUCCUUCAAAUAACUGCCUUUGAAGGCGGGCAACCUCAUCGGUCACCAUCCUGAGCUUCCUCCUAUAGUCGUCCACCUGCUUGCACCAGUCGGCCCGGUAUGCAUUGUAGUUCGCCUCGACGUCCUGGAGUUGU
rnacentral:lncRNA from 1 species